UACAGAGGGUGCGAGCGUUGUCCGGAAUCACUGGGCGUAAAGGGCGCGUAGGCGGCCUGAUAAGUAGGGGGUGAAAUCCUGUGGCUUAACUUCAGGGCUGCCUCCUAGACUGUUAGGCUCGAGCACGGUAGAGGCAGAUGGAAUUCCCGGUGUAGCGGUGGAAUGCGUAGAGAUCGGGAAGAACAUCGGUGGCGAAGGCGGUCUGCUGGGCCGUUGCUGACGCUGAGGCGCGACAGCGUGGGGAGCAAACAGG
rnacentral:rRNA from 1 species